GAGGGUAUAGCUCAGUGGUAGGGUGUGUGCCUGGCAUCCACGAGGUCCUGGGUUCCAUCCCCAGCCCCUCCA
rnacentral:tRNA from 1 species